rnacentral:rRNA from 1 species
GGGUUGUGAGGUUAAGCGACUAAGCGUACACGGUGGAUGCCCUGGCAGUCAGAGGCGAUGAAGGGCGUGCUAAUCUGCGAUAAGCGCCGGUAAGGUGAUAUGAACCGUUAUAACCGGCGAUACCCGAAUGGGGAAACCCAGUGUGAUUCGUCACACUAUCAUUAACUGAAUCCAUAGGUUAAUGAGGCGAACCGGGGGAACUGAAACAUCUAAGUACCCCGAGGAAAAGAAAUCAACCGAGAUUCCCCCAGUAGCGGCGAGCGAACGGGGAGGAGCCCAGAGCCUGAAUCAGCAUGUGUGUUAGUGGAAGCGUCUGGAAAGGCGCGCGAUACAGGGUGACAGCCCCGUACACAAAAGCGCAUGUGCUGUGAGCUCGAUGAGUAGGGCGGGACACGUGGUAUCCUGUCUGAAUAUGGGGGGACCAUCCUCCAAGGCUAAAUACUCCUGACUGACCGAUAGUGAACCAGUACCGUGAGGGAAAGGCGAAAAGAACCCCGGCGAGGGGAGUGAAAAAGAACCUGAAACCGUGUACGUACAAGCAGUGGGAGCACAGGUUUACCUGUGUGACUGCGUACCUUUUGUAUAAUGGGUCAGCGACUUAUAUUCUGUAGCAAGGUUAACCGUAUAGGGGAGCCGGAGGGAAACCGAGUCUUAAUUGGGCGUUAAGUUGCAGGGUAUAGACCCGAAACCCGGUGAUCUAGCCAUGGGCAGGUUGAAGGUUGGGUAACACUAACUGGAGGACCGAACCGACUAAUGUUGAAAAAUUAGCGGAUGACCUGUGGCUGGGGGUGAAAGGCCAAUCAAACCGGGAGAUAGCUGGUUCUCCCCGAAAGCUAUUUAGGUAGCGCCUCGUGAAUUCAUCUCCGGGGGUAGAGCACUGUUUCGGCUAGGGGGCCAUCCCGGCUUACCAACCCGAUGCAAACUGCGAAUACCGGAGAAUGUUAUCACGGGAGACACACGGCGGGUGCUAACGUCCGUCGUGAAGAGGGAAACAACCCAGACCGCCAGCUAAGGUCCCAAAGUCAUGGUUAAGUGGGAAACGAUGUGGGAAGGCCCAGACAGCCAGGAUGUUGGCUUAGAAGCAGCCAUCAUUUAAAGAAAGCGUAAUAGCUCACUGGUCGAGUCGGCCUGCGCGGAAGAUGUAACGGGGCUAAACCAUGCACCGAAGCUGCGGCAGCGAACGUAUCACCCAAGACAACUUUACGGAGUUGACGAUUGACGGAGCGAAGCGACGUCAAAGCGUUCAUUAAAGUCGAGUUGGCUUAGGGAUACGUUCGUUGGGUAGGGGAGCGUUCUGUAAGCCUGUGAAGGUGUGUCGUGAGGCAUGCUGGAGGUAUCAGAAGUGCGAAUGCUGACAUAAGUAACGAUAAAGCGGGUGAAAAGCCCGCUCGCCGGAAGACCAAGGGUUCCUGUCCAACGUUAAUCGGGGCAGGGUGAGUCGACCCCUAAGGCGAGGCCGAAAGGCGUAGUCGAUGGGAAACGGGUUAAUAUUCCCGUACUUGGUGUUACUGCGAAGGGGGGACGGAGAAGGCUAUGUUGGCCGGGCGACGGUUGUCCCGGUUUAAGCGUGUAGGUGUGUGUUCCAGGUAAAUCCGGUUCACUUUAACACUGAGGCGUGACGACGAGGCACUACGGUGCUGAAGCAACAAAUGCCCUGCUUCCAGGAAAAGCCUCUAAGCAUCAGGUAACAUCAAAUCGUACCCCAAACCGACACAGGUGGUCAGGUAGAGAAUACCAAGGCGCUUGAGAGAACUCGGGUGAAGGAACUAGGCAAAAUGGUGCCGUAACUUCGGGAGAAGGCACGCUGACACGUAGGUGAAGUGAUUUACUCAUGGAGCUGAAGUCAGUCGAAGAUACCAGCUGGCUGCAACUGUUUAUUAAAAACACAGCACUGUGCAAACACGAAAGUGGACGUAUACGGUGUGACGCCUGCCCGGUGCCGGAAGGUUAAUUGAUGGGGUCAGCGCAAGCGAAGCUCCUGAUCGAAGCCCCGGUAAACGGCGGCCGUAACUAUAACGGUCCUAAGGUAGCGAAAUUCCUUGUCGGGUAAGUUCCGACCUGCACGAAUGGCGUAAUGAUGGCCAGGCUGUCUCCACCCGAGACUCAGUGAAAUUGAACUCGCUGUGAAGAUGCAGUGUACCCGCGGCAAGACGGAAAGACCCCGUGAACCUUUACUAUAGCUUGACACUGAACAUUGAGCCUUGAUGUGUAGGAUAGGUGGGAGGCUUUGAAGUGUGGACGCCAGUCUGCAUGGAGCCGACCUUGAAAUACCACCCUUUAAUGUUUGAUGUUCUAACGUGGACCCGUAAUCCGGGUUGCGGACAGUGUCUGGUGGGUAGUUUGACUGGGGCGGUCUCCUCCUAAAGAGUAACGGAGGAGCACGAAGGUUGGCUAAUCCUGGUCGGACAUCAGGAGGUUAGUGCAAUGGCAUAAGCCAGCUUGACUGCGAGCGUGACGGCGCGAGCAGGUGCGAAAGCAGGUCAUAGUGAUCCGGUGGUUCUGAAUGGAAGGGCCAUCGCUCAACGGAUAAAAGGUACUCCGGGGAUAACAGGCUGAUACCGCCCAAGAGUUCAUAUCGACGGCGGUGUUUGGCACCUCGAUGUCGGCUCAUCACAUCCUGGGGCUGAAGUAGGUCCCAAGGGUAUGGCUGUUCGCCAUUUAAAGUGGUACGCGAGCUGGGUUUAGAACGUCGUGAGACAGUUCGGUCCCUAUCUGCCGUGGGCGCUGGAGAACUGAGGGGGGCUGCUCCUAGUACGAGAGGACCGGAGUGGACGCAUCACUGGUGUUCGGGUUGUCAUGCCAAUGGCACUGCCCGGUAGCUAAAUGCGGAAGAGAUAAGUGCUGAAAGCAUCUAAGCACGAAACUUGCCCCGAGAUGAGUUCUCCCUGAGACUUAGAGUCUCCUGAAGGAACGUUGAAGACGACGACGUUGAUAGGCCGGGUGUGUAAGCGCAGCGAU